rnacentral:rRNA from 1 species
GAAGCAUCCUGUUAAGUCAGGCAACGAGCGAGACCCACGCCAACAGUUGCCAGCUCGUCCUCCGGGAUGGUGGGGACACUGUUGGGACCGCCUCUGCUAAAGAGGAGGAAGGGAAUGGGCAACGGUAGGUCAGCAUGCCCCGAAUUAACUGGGCUACACGCGGGCUACAAUGGGUGGGACAAUGGGUAUCGACACCGAAAGGUGAAGGCAAUCUCCUAAACCCAUCCGUAGUUCGGAUUGUGGGCUGCAACUCGCCCACAUGAAGCUGGAAUCUGUAGUAAUCGUGUCUCAAAAAUGGCACGGUGAAUAUGUCCCUGCUCCUU